AGAGUUUGAUCCUGGCUCAGGACGAACGCUGGCGGCGUGCCUAAUACAUGCAAGUCGAGCGGUACCCUUAGGGGUACAGCGGCGGACGGGUGAGUAACACGUGGGCAACCUGCCUGUAAGACUGGGAUAACUUCGGGAAACCGGAGCUAAUACCGGAUAAUCCUUUUCCUCACAUGAGGGAGAGCUGAAAGACGGUUUCG
rnacentral:rRNA from 1 species